rnacentral:rRNA from 1 species
AACGAACGCUGGCGGCAUGCCUAACACAUGCAAGUCGAACGAGACCUUCGGGUCUAGUGGCGCACGGGUGCGUAACGCGUGGGAACCUGCCCUUAGGUUCGGAAUAACUCCCCGAAAGGGGUGCUAAUACCGGAUAUUGUCUUCGGACCAAAGAUUUAUCGCCUUUGGAUGGGCCCGCGUUGGAUUAGCUAGUUGGUAGGGUAAAAGCCUACCAAGGCGACGAUCCAUAGCUGGUCUGAGAGGAGGAUCAGCCACACUGGGACUGAGACACGGCCCAGACUCCUACGGGAGGCAGCAGUGGGGAAUAUUGGACAAUGGGCGAAAGCCUGAUCCAGCAAUGCCGCGUGAGUGAUGAAGGCCUUAGGGUUGUAAAGCUCUUUUACCCGGGAUGAUAAUGACAGUACCGGGAGAAUAAGCUCCGGCUAACUCCGUG